CAAUUGCGAACAUCAUUUGAUUGAAGAGAAUCAAGAAAUGACAACCUACACAUAGACAUUGUCAAAAUAUUUUCAAGGACGAUUUGGUGCCUUUCAUAGACUUGUUUGACAAAGAAAGCAUGAAAGUUAAAAUUUGUAAAACAAUCAUAGAAGGAAUGAGUACGCAGAGUGAAUCUAUUGCGGAUCCGAUUAUCAUAAAUGCUCAGAUGUUUAUUGCAAGGAUAAUGCAUGAUUUUAUUAGAUUAUUAUUAGCAGUUGAUACUAAAAAGAUAGUACAUGGCCAUCACACGAGGAGAACGUGNGCAUUUAUGCGCGCCUGUGCUGCACCAUUCUGUUUUAUUGCUAUAUCUUUCUUAACUUUUGUCCAUACGCGCUUUCAAUUACAUUUACUAACUGGACAAGUCGCUCUUUUAAAUNAAUGACUACGUCAAGGUGAGCCACCAAUUAGUUCCGUUAUCGUUUAUUCUUUUUUUUAUUGUAUAAAUUCAUCACUUUAUGUAUUCAAAUGGACAUUUUUCAGUUGAUAGGCCGCUGUUUCNAGGCCGCUUUAAUAAGUUUAGUGCCGGAGAUGCCGAAAACCAUUGAUAUUGGAAGACCAAACAGUUCGCAACCAUAUCUGUCUGCUUUCAUGCUUGUCGAGNUUCUUAUCAACAUUGCUAGUAGUUCCAGAUAAUCCCCCCCCCCAGAAUACGGUAUUUUGUGUUUAAUUAAUGAGAAGCUUGCUNAAUGCGGUUCAACGUUGUUUCGAAGAAAACACUUUGAUCAAGUCAUAUUUAUAUUAUAGUUACGUGUACUCGAUCUUGUCUCAACUGUAGCACAGAAAACUUAUUCGUAUCAACACAUUGACAAGGUAAAUUAAUGUUUUGUGUAAUUACAAAGUUAUCAAAUUGAUGAAACAUGUACAGUGUUUGAAAAAAACGUGAGAAGAUAAGUAGAAAAGGCAU